CUGGAAGGAAGGAAGCUGGAAUUUAUUCCACAGGCACUCUCGGUUUAUUGCAGUAAUGGGAACAUUGUACCGGUCAACAUGAACUUGCACUGCAGCAGCUCAGCCAGUAGAGAGAAAAUGGAGCGUAGUGGUAUCAUCUAGCCAGAGAGCCCAGCCCACAAGUGAGAGUCGGGGCAUGAGACAUCUGGAGUACAACCCCCAUGAGGAGCUACAGCUGCACAAGCAGAUACAGAUUAUGUGAUGAACUGAACUGUUCUGAAGGAUCUGUGAAGUGCUCUCAAUCAUCUCCAUUUCCUAACUUUCACAA